rnacentral:lncRNA from 1 species
UUAAGAUCUCAGCGUAGAGAAGCUCAUUCCAGGCGUCUGGCACACCAGGAAGGCACCAGUGGCUGCAGUCCUGAAACCUCAAUGGCGACCGCCUUUCCUCAUCUGAUAGAUUUUGUUUGCGGUAAAUUGAUGGGUGGCCAUCCUUCCGGUAAUCUGUUAUUCGAGUGAUGUUUAGGUAAGUGACUUGGGUUUUCAUCCCUCUCAAGAUUUUCUCCAAUACUAUCAUCUUUGGUGGAUAAUCUGG